rnacentral:rRNA from 1 species
AUGAACGCUGGCGGCGUGCCUAAUACACGCAAGUCGAGCGAACAGACGAGGAGCUUGCUCCUCUGACGUUAGCGGCGGACGGGUGAGUAACACGUGGAUAACCUACCUAUAAGACUGGGAUAACUUCGGGAAACCGGAGCUAAUACCGGAUAAUAUAUUGAACCGCAUGGUUCAAUAGUGAAAGACGGUUUUGCUGUCACUUAUAGAUGGAUCCGCGCCGCAUUAGCUAGUUGGUAAGGUAACGGCUUACCAAGGCAACGAUGCGUAGCCGACCUGAGAGGGUGAUCGGCCACACUGGAACUGAGACACGGUCCAGACUCCUACGGGAGGCAGCAGUAGGGAAUCUUCCGCAAUGGGCGAAAGCCUGACGGAGCAACGCCGCGUGAGUGAUGAAGGUCUUCGGAUCGUAAAACUCUGUUAUUAGGGAAGAACAAAUGUGUAAGUAACUAUGCACGUCUUGACGGUACCUAAUCAGAAAGCCACGGCUAACUACGUG